rnacentral:lncRNA from 1 species
UAGAAUUUAGCCCGGACGGGUAAUUCUAAUGUAAGCCCUCUUUAUCUUAGGUUAUAUAUUGGAUUUAGCCAGGACGAGAAAUCCAAAUUAAACUCUCUCGAGCAUAUUCUAUGGAUAGGUUUUAGCCUGGACUGAUAAUGCUACUAUAAAAUUUAUGACUCAAGAGUGUGCCUUUUUAUUUUGUACCUUAAUGGGUACUUUUGCAGAUGAUUUUAUUACCCAAACAUCUAUCGUGAUUUCAAUAGUUCGAUGGAAAAGACUUUUGAAGUGUGGAAAGGUGAAAUUAAUGGAAG